rnacentral:rRNA from 1 species
GACGAACGCUGGCGGCGUGCUUAACACAUGCAAGUCGAACGGAAAGGCCCUGCUUUUGUGGGGUGCUCGAGUGGCGAACGGGUGAGUAACACGUGAGUAACCUGCCCUUGACUUUGGGAUAACUUCAGGAAACUGGGGCGAAUACCGGAUAGGAGCUCCUGCUGCAUGGGGGGGGUUGGAAAGUGUCGGCGGUUGGGGAUGGACUCGCGGCUUAUCAGCUUGUUGGGGGGGUAGUGGCUUACCAAGGGUUUGACGGGUAGCCGGCCUGAGAGGGUGACCGGCCACAUUGGGACUGAGAUACGGCCCAGACUCCUACGGGAGGCAGCAGUGGGGAAUAUUGCACAAUGGGCGGAAGCCUGAUGCAGCAACGCCGCGUGCGGGAUGACGGCCUUCGGGUUGUAAACCGCUUUCGCCUGUGACGAAGCGUGAGUGACGGUAAUGGGUAAAGAAGCACCGGCUAACUACGUG